rnacentral:rRNA from 1 species
CUGGCGGCGUGCCUCAGACAUGCAAGUCNGAACGAUUAGAGCUCUCUUCGGAGAGUGCAUAGAGUGGCGCACGGGUGAGUAACACGUAAGUAAUCUACCUUCGAGUGGGGAAUAACAGUCGGAAACGGCUGCUAAUACCGCAUAAUGCAGCGGCAUCGCAAGAUGACAGUUGUUAAAGAUUUAUCGCUUGAAGAGGAGCUUGCGGCAGAUUAGCUAGUUGGUAAGGUAAUGGCUUACCAAGGCUACGAUCUGUAACCGGUCUAAGAGGACGGUCGGUCACACUGACACUGAAUAACGGGUCAGACUCCUACGGGAGGCAGCAGUCGGGAAUUUUGGGCAAUGGGCGAAAGCCUGACCCAGCAACGCCGCGUGAAGGAUGAAGUAUUUCGGUAUGUAAACUUCGAAAGAAUAGGAAGAAUUAAUGACGGUACUAUUUAUAAGGUCCGGCUAACUACGUGCCAGCAGCCGCGGUAAUACGUAGGGACCAAGCGUUGUUCGGAUUUACUGGGCGUAAAGGGCGCGUAGGCGGCAUGACAAGUCACUUGUGAAAUCUCCGGGCUUAACUCGGAACGGCCAAGUGAUACUGUCACGCUAGAGUGCGGAAGGGGCAAUCAGAAUUCUUGGUGUAGCGGUGAAAU